UUUUUAGUAUAAGUAUGUCCUAUGCAAUAUUUGAGACAUAGUCAUACUAAAA
rfam:Pteropus alecto contig90416, whole genome shotgun sequence.